CCUGGCUUUGCUUUGGGUUAUGGUAUAAUUUGAUAAAAUCUUUAAUAUAAAUUUAAGAGAAAAAGCAACAUCUCAUGAAAUAAGAUGAUUCAGUGUUUUACAUGCCAGAGGAGUGACAAUUCAUCUUUAAGGCCAAAGAAUAGUUCCAGAAUAGUAUGAUAUUGUUAAUGUAGUUGAAAUAAAAAAAACUAACUCUUGCUUUAAUGACAAAUAUUUUCUUAGUUAUUCGAUGUGGAGGUAUGCAAUGCAACAGGCUAUAUAAUAACUCAUUUAUUAUGUAUGCAUUGUGGAGGUUGUAGACAUUAACGGGGUUUUUCACUGAAUUCAAAGUACAUUUCAAAUUUAAUGACAGAGUAGUCAUACUGAAAGCAUAGAUGUCUUAGAGAAUAUUUCCAGUGUGGCUAUUUUAGCCAUAAAUAUGAAAUUCACUAUGAAUUCUCACUUUUGUGAAUAACCCUUUAUACAACUUACAGGUGUGUGAUCGAAGUGUUUUUAAUUUACAUGCCUAAAGUAUGCCACCCCUUUGGUUAAUAUAUUACCUUCCAUGUCACAUUUUACUUCAUUCUAUAAGUGGAUAAAACUAGUAGCCAAUUAAUUCGAGUUUAUGCUAGAGCUUAUAUGUCUAUCACAGUAAAGUGUGCUAUUAAAGUAUCCAUCACUUAUCUUGUUUGACAUUAAAGUAAACGUUAAUGUGACACACAGGCACGAUAACCACUACAAUCCGCUGUAGUAGUUAUGGUGGCAAGAGUCUUCUGGUGCCAUCUGACAAUUGAACGCAUUGACACUAACUCUGUGUUCGCUGAAAACCCGCUGACAAUCACCUUGAUAGAGAUAUUGCAAAAGUAUAAGUUUCCCUUCCAUUAAGGCAAUAUCGAUGACAUUUGCUAAGGCUGAAUUUAUUGGCUGAGAGUGUCAGCUGGUACUCACAGCCAAUUGAUUCCAUCCAAACGAGGACAAAAAAUAAAAUUUCUAAUGUAAAAAGAUAAUUUCCAAAUAGAAAAAAUUUCAGAAUUGGUGUUCACAACAAUUCCAUCACUGUUCGUACUAUAAAAAUUAAAAACGUUAUGUCACACCUGUGCAGUAUAGUAAAAAAUAUAUUUCAACAUACAGUGAUAUACUCCCACGUAUAGGAUCCGGUAAACUACGUGUUUUGUGACACUGUGCCUGGAGAAACACAUAGAGUACCAGAGCCUAUUUGAUUGGGGGUAUAUUACUGUAUGUUGAAUUAUAUUUUUUUACUAUAUUGCAGAGAUGUGUGAUAAGUUUUUUUCAUAUUUAUGGAACCAGCAGUAAUGGAAUCCUUGUGAACACCAAUUCUUAUAUUAUUCCUAUUUUAAUGUGUUUUCUGAACUGACUUCAUUUGGAGGUCACUGUGAUAUACUAAAUGAGCCUUUUAAAUUUUGCUUAGGCCAGGAAGAAUUAUACUUGCAACAGUUCAAGGAAGAUAUUUUUCACUUUUUUUUUUCUACUUUGAAAGAGAAUUUCAGCUUUAAUAAUAUCUCUUAAGAGCGGUUGGGCUCAAAUAGAAACAUAGAAUGACCAUUCAGCCCAUCUAGUCUGCACAAUUUUCUAAAUACUUCCAUUAGUCCCUGGCCUUAUCUUAUAGCUAGGAUAGCCUUAUGCCUAUCCCACGCAUGCUUAAACUCCUUUACUGUGUUAACCUCUACCACUUCAGCUGGAAGGCUAUUCCAUGCAUCCACUACCCUCUCAGUUAAGUAAUACUUCCUGAAAUUAUUUUUAAACCUUUGCCACUCUCAUUUAAGACUAUGUCCUCUUGUGGUUGUUUUCUACUUUUUAAAUAUAGUCUCCUCCUUUACUGUGUUGAUUCCCUUUAUGUAUUUAAAUGUUUCUAUCAUAUCCCCCUGUUUCGUCUUUCCUCCAAGCUAUACAUUUUAAGCUCCUUAAACCUUUCCUUGUAAAAUAUCCUCACACUUCCAAAGUAUUAAUAUUUAGUGUGAAACUGUUCUGAAAUAGUUUGACAUGUAACCAUGAAAUGGCACCAUUGAACUCUUGAUACCACAACAAAUACAGUGAGCUGUGACGCCUAUAGUGCUUAUGGUGCUAAGUCGCCUCUUAAAUGUUAUGUUGGCAUUAUCCUUAUUAUCAUUAUAAGUAACAUGCAGAAUGCACGAAUCUAAUAUUGUAACGGUAUUGCAUUAAUCAUUGCGUUGGAUUUUGAGUUUUCUCUGCACCGUGAACAAGUAUGUAAUUAAAUUACAGUAGGUUAAAAAAAAUAUCCAAAAUGAGGAUAUUCCAUCACAAAUAUUUUGGUUUCAGUUAAGUUAAUAAUUGUUUACUAAAUAAAACUUUAAUGCCCUCACUGCUUAGUGGAAAUUCGAAUUUUGUUUUCAGUAAGCCAUGAGGUUAUUAAAUGACACUCAAGACACUUCGUAGGUUAGUUGUUUCUUUUUUUUUUAAGUUUUGGCCUCAUAAUAAUCCUGUAUUUUUCUCCACAUUUAAAUAGUUUAGAAAAAAAGUUUUUGCAGCUUUUUACAGCAUUCCUUAACUUUAGGCAUCUUCUACUUUUCACAAAACGUUCUUAUUAGAAGUUGUGAAAAGUAACCGACUUUAAGCAUCUGCAGCCAGUAACUGCCUUGCGUGUCCGGUGAAAUUGUGUACUCCUAAACAGCCUCUUCCCACUAAUAGUAACAACAGGCAACUUAGCGAAUAGCUUCUUGUGUGUUAAAAGUAGCAAUAUACCUCCCAACUUCAGCCUCUUGUGAAGCAGAAUUCCAGUGGGAGGGACAUCACUGACUCUGCCCAAAUUGGUGGACCCACCCAGAAAGGGUGUGUCCCUGCCUGUAGAAUUGACAGGUCAGUCUGGUGUUAAUGCAUGCUAAGCUGCCUACCAAUCAAAAAGGUCGGCCCAUGCAGGGAGCACUGUUUUAGUGAUCUUUGCUGUGUUCUAAUGUAUGCCUUCCAACUGUCUUGCUUUUAGCAGGAAUGUCAUGAUUUCUGGGUCCUACCCCACUUCAGGUCCCUCGUGUGCUGCAUGUGGCGACCACAGGGACCUGUCCUGGGCGCGGACGUAUUAGCCGCGAGGCAAACAAGGCAUUUGCCUUGGGAGGCAUUUUCCAGGGGGCGGCAAAAAAAGCCACCCCCAAGUGCCAAGGGCGAAUGUCUUGUUAGCCUUGCGGCUAACUGACAAGCCGGGCGGCCGGGCGGCGCUGGAGCACUUUCCCCUG
rnacentral:lncRNA from 1 species